rnacentral:lncRNA from 1 species
GGGGUGUGGGAUGCUGAGCUUAAUACUUCAGUGAUGGGAUGAUCUGUGCAGCAAACUACAAUUGCAUACAUUUACCUAUGUAACAAACAUGCACAUCCUACACAUAUACCCGUCAACUUAAAAGUUGGAAAUUUUAAAAAAUGAGAUAAAAAUUGCUCUACAAAAUGAAGUCUUUAAAAAAUGGGAAAAUUGUAAUCUCUUACUGAUAUCGCAGUUAUUAUGCAUCAUUUCUCAGAACCUUAUGAAGAUUAUUGCUGAAAUAGGAACCAACACAUUGUUUUUGUUAUUGAUCAGAAAGAAUUAAGAAAGCUUAGGCUGGGCACAGUGGCUCAAGCCUGUAAUCCCAGCACUUUGGGAGUCCAAGGCAGGUGGAUCACCUGAGCUCAGGAAUUCGAGACUAGCCUGGACAACAUGGCAAAACCCUGUCUCUACUAAAUAUACAAAAAUUAGUUGGGCAUAGUGGCGGACUCCUGUAAUCCCAACUUCUCAGGAGGCUGAGGCAGAAGAAUCACUUGAAUUAGGGAGGUGGUGCUCCAGCCUAGGUGACAGAGCAAGACUCCAUAUCCCCCAUGGCCUCCCCAACCCCCCCAGAAAAGAAAGUAAAAAAGAAAGCUCACCAUCUUCGUGGCACAAGCCAACAAGGUUGAAAAAGCCAAAGAUGCCAACAUUUACUGCUUUUUGAUUUUUUGAUUAUGGCCAUGCUUGCAGGAGUGAGGUGGUAUCACAUUGUGGUUUUGAUUUGCAUUUCCCUGAUCAUUAGUGAUGUUGAGCAUUUUUUUGUGUUUGUUGGCCAUUUGUAUCUCUUCUUUUGAGAAUUGUCUAUUCAUGUCCUUAGCCCACUUUUUGAUGGGGUUGUUUGUUUAUUUCUUACUGAUUUGUUUGAGUUCGUUGUAGAUUCUGGAUAUUAGACCUUUGACAGAUGUAUAGAUUGCAAAGAUUUUCUCCCACUCUGUGGGUUGUUGGUUUACUCUGCUGACGGUUCCUUUUGCCGUGCAAAAGUUCUUUAGUUUAAUUAGAUCCCAGAUAUUUAUCUUAGUUUUUAUUCCAUUUGUGAUGAACAGGGAACCCCUCUACAAUGCUUGUGGGAAUGUAAACUAGUACAGCAACUGUGGAAAACAAUGUGGAGAUUCCUUAAAAUGUAAAAGUAGAACUACCGUUUGAUCCAGGAAUCCCACUACUGGGUGUCUACCCAGAGGAAAAGAAGUCAUUAUUCGAAAAAGAUACUUGCACACACAUGUGUACAGCAGCACAAUUCACAACUGCAAAAUAGUGGAAGCAACCCAGAUAGAUGCCCACCAAUCAAUGAGUGGAUAAAGAAACUGUGAUAUAUAUACACACAAUGGAAUACUACACAGCCAUAAAAAUGAAUGAAUUAAUAACAUUUGUGGAGACCUGGAUGAGAUUGGAGACUAUUAUUCUAAGUGAUGUAACCCGGGAAUGGAAAACCAAGCAUCAUAUAUUCUCAAUGAUAUGUGGGAGCUAAGCUAUGAGGACGCAAAGGCAUAAGAACAAUACAAUGGACUCUGGGGACUUGGGGGGAAGAGUGGAAGGGAAGCGAGGGAUACAAAACUACAAAUAUGGUGCAGUGUAUGCUGCUUGGGUGAUGGAUGCACCAAAAUCUCACAAAUCACCACUAAAGAACUUAGACAUGUAACCAAAUACCACCUGUACACCAAUAACAUAUGAAAAAAUAAAAUUUAAAAAAAGCCAAAGACAAGUGAACGAAAGGAGUAAUUGAUGGCCAUGAUUUCCAAGUAGAUUUGCUGGGUCAAGAUCAAGGUCAGGGAAAAAUUUACACACUGUGAAUUUUUUUUAUCUGCACUGAAGUUGAAUAGAAAAUUUGAAUUCAUACUUAUGGGGUCACAGUAUGUCUAAUUUUAAAAUAGAUGCAUAUGCUCUAUUCACUUAAUUGUCUUUUAUUGUAUACAAUAAGCAUUACAUACACAGGGUAAGGAAUUAAGUAGCUAUAAAGGAAAAUAGGAUGAAAUGAUGCAUUCCUCUUCUCCAUUUUUUCUAGAAACAAUGUUAAACCGAAAUGAUUCUAAAAAUAUAGUUACUCAUUCUUGAGGUAUUUUUUUCUAUUUUUCAGUAGACUAUUAAUAAUAUUUGUAAAACAACCCAUUAAUAAAUAACAUAAUCUAUAGGCAUAAAAAAGAAACCAUGUAUGGAAAACAAAAUGCUAACAACAAAAAUUUGAACCA